CUUACUUGUUGGCAGCCAUUGAAUACGCAGUAGUGCUUACCGAACAUCUGAAUGAAUUCUACCUCAGCCAGAGGAAUUUCAGCAAGGCACUGUAUAAAAUCUGGAGAUAUGUGCUUAUCUGUGCGUUCAAACUCACCUGCAUUGAUGCAGUCAGGUGUAAUCAGAUUUUUCAGGAUUCAAAGAUCAGAUGAUUGGCUAUAACUCCUCUGA